GCCGCGUGAGCGAUGAAGGCCUUCGGGUCGUAAAGCUCUGUUGUUAGGGAAGAACAAGUACCGUUCAAAUAGGGCGGUACCUUGACGGUACCUAACCAGAAAGCCACGGCUAACUACGUGCCAGCAGCCGCGGUAAUACGUAGGUGGCAAGCGUUGUCCGGAAUUAUUGGGCGUAAAGCGCGCGCAGGCGGUCUCUUAAGUCUGAUGUGAAAGCCCACGGCUCAACCGUGGAGGGUCAUUGGAAACUGGGGGACUUGAGUACUGGAGAGGAGAGUGGAAUUCCAUGUGUAGCGGUGAAAUGCGUAGAUAUAUGGAGGAACACCAGUGGCGAAGGCGGCUCUCUGGCCAGUAACUGACGCUGAGGCGCGAAAGCGUGGGGAGCAAACAGGAUUAGAUACCCUGGUAGUCCACGCCGUAAACGAUGAGUGCUAGGUGUUGGGGGGUUCCACCCUCAGUGCUGACGUUAACACAUUAAGCACUCCGCCUGGGGAGUACGACCGCAAGGUUGAAACUCAAAGGAAUUGACGGGGGCCCGCACAAGCAGUGGAGCAUGUGGUUUAAUUCGAAGCAACGCGAAGAACCUUACCAGGUCUUGACAUCCUUCGCUACUUCUAGAGAUAGAAGGUUCCCCUUCGGGGGACGAAGUGACAGGUGGUGCAUGGUUGUCGUCAGCUCGUGUCGUGAGAUGUUGGGUUAAGUCCCGCAACGAGCGCAACCC
rnacentral:rRNA from 2 species